ensembl:lncRNA
CAGGACGCACCCACUUUGGUACAGUGGUAAUAAUUAACAAUGUAAUACACACUCACACACACAUUCCCCAACUAUCAUUCUGUUCCUGAUCUACUGUUAGUUCACAAGGCGGAAAGGGACAAAAGAAAGCUGGAAGGAAGGAAGGAAGGAAGGAAGGACAGAAAUAUUUUAAAAUACAAACACAAUAUAAGUUGUUAUCGGUGCUCGGAUAAGUUUGACCGAAAAGCCGUCCAUGUGGAUACGUGAAGGAGGCGUCAGCCAUCAGUUUCUAAAUGGACUACAUAGCACAAGUCGUCCCUUCCUCCAUGUCCAUCGCUCCGGGAGACGUGUCUACAACAACCCCUGGCCUCGGGAGACCAUGGCGCCAUCUUGUUAUUUCUCCUUCGUCAACAGAGCGGUGUUGUGGGACAGAGGAAGUCAUCAUCACACAGCGAGCAUGGAUGUCCUCCAUAAUGUGGAACCUCAACCCCCAUGUUCACGUUUUGAGGCUCACAUGAGGGCGUGUCCCGGCCUGAUCAGACCGCCGUACUUCCCACGCACACACCGUCUACCAAGACCUCCGAUGAAGAUCCUCCGUGUGCCAAAACUGCCAAGACAGCAAGAAACUCGGAGAAAGCAGAACUCCCUACAGCACUUCUCUGUGAUGCUUCCCAGUGUACCAGCAUCUCCACAUCCAAGCGUGGCCUCUAGAGACCCCCUGCGCUCUCCAACACCGUCUGUCCACUCGGGGACAAACCCAGACAAGUUCCAGUCUUUCCAUGUUCCCUCUCCAAGCUCAGAACACACUACAAUAAAGCAGGAAGAUGUAGUAAGUCAUAGAGAGGUUAGUUUGACUGGGCCCUCCUCCCCACAAAUCGACUAUGAGGACGAUGAAGAGCCUAAAUGUGAAGCAGUGACACCAAUGACAAUGACUCCUGGCACCCCAUCAACCCCUGUGACCCCUCUAACACCAAUGACCCCUAUGACGCCGGAUUCUCUUUCAGACCUGAGUCGUCCAGCGUCCAGUCAGUUUAGCUAUAGCACCAACCUGAACAGCAGUCUAUCCAAUGCACCUUCAGUAAAUCAGACUGAUGACUCUGACGGUGAAGAUGGAGAUGCUGAGGAUGGUGAUGAUAUCAACAAUGAUGACCUUGAGGCCUGUUCCUCAUCCUUGUCUGAUCUUUGCUUCAGCUCUCUUGAUGGAGCAGUCUUGGCCUCUUGCUCCCCCCCAACAUCUAGUCAGUCAUCUUUCUCCAAAAACCUGAGUUCCCUUAGCCAAGAACCUCGGAAUACCAGCCAUCGAGAAACCUUAAAGGAAACUCCAAUUAUUCAGGUUGAAGACCCUCUAGUGAGGGAAACCCCACACCCUAACCAACUUACACAUACAAGUGUUAAUGGAGCUCCAAGCCCUUGCUCUGCAUAUCCGGACUCUCAAUCCAGACUGGCAUCUGCUUCUCAGCUGGAUGUUCGUUCUGACUGGACAACCUGCCGCUGGCCUAUACUUCCUCCAAUCACGCCUCAGAGAGGUAGCCAAGGGUCAAGAGCAUCUCUCAGUUCCCCAAUAAGCUGUUCUCAGUCGGACAUGUUUGCUGAGCUGGAGGCUACAGCACCUCGGAGUGUGUCCUGUCAAUCCUUGGAUCAUGUUGACUGUAGUGACAUGGAAAUCACCUCACCUACCACAGAUCUGAGUCCCGGUCUGGCCGCUCUGACGGUCGGCUGUGACUCUGGUGACCUGGGUUCUCUAUCCCGAGUGCAGCUCUUGCUCCUGGAAAGAGGAACAUCUGAGGGUCUGGAACCCCUGCCAGAUCUAGAAUGGAACAGUCCGAUAGAGGAGAGAGGAGACUAUGAACCUGGGCUUCAAGUUUGGAGCUUGGGCAUUCCCCAACAUUAUCAGUGCACAGAUCCCUAUGCACAGGUGAGCAGCAGUGUGUCACUAAGUGUGAGGCACUUUCCACUCGGACAAGUGGACAUCACAAGUGGAACUCCGGGGGAAAAGCUUAGCGAUGCUGAAGACAUCUCGAGAUCUUCCUCCUGGUCUCUCAGUUGUGCGUCGAGAGAAAACACGCCGUGGGAGGAAGAAGUUACGGCGCAAUCAGGAGGAAGUGACGUCAUGAGCGACGCCGAUCUCCACCCGAGCGCACAGCCAACCGAGCCCAGAGUGACUGAAGGAACCUCACAAAAAGCGGCUUGUCCAGGAAAGCGAGAGCGACCUGUUACAGGAGUGCGCAGGGGCCCGAACCAAAUCAAAGACAGGAGGAGGAGGCAUCACAGGAAGAUGCUGGGAGAGAAGGGAGAAGAGCGGAAGAGCAAAGCACUGCAAAUUUACACCAGACUGCGAGACGGAAACAAGCCGACUGAGCCCAGCAAGCCGAGAAGCUGUUCCAGGUUUGAGGACUUUGAUUUCCUGGCCAAGUACUGCAUUAUCAGUCCUGAGAAGCUCGCCGCAUACAGACGUGCUUUUGAAGCUGUGGACAGUGAUGGUGAUGGCUAUCUAUCGUGCUUUCAAGUACUGCUGGCUCUAAAGGAGAUCAUUCCUCCAGAACUGCUGACUGAAGAGGAGGAAAUCUAUGUGUACAGGAUUCUAGAGCUGGUUGAUUUCAGCGUGACUGAGGGUCUGACGGAUUUGCGUCUCUUCGCCGUCGUUGCCAGUCUGGCACAGAAGAUAGCCACACUAGAUGAUUUCAUGCGGUCUCUCAUUAGCAAGAUGGACUUCAAGUCUUUGGAGAUGAAGCUGUACAAAGCAAAGCAGUUGUUCCUGUUCCUGCUGGAGGGCCAGUCUGAGGGCAGCGAGGCACCACAGGGUCGUAUCAGUGCUGAACAACUGCUUGUGGAGCUGAAGGCAGGGGGGAUCCGUGAGGAGCAGGAGGAAGAGGUCAGGCGUGAACUCCGUAGCCUUCGCUCCCUCGACCUGCUUGACUUCCUCGCACACCUACCCCUCUUCAUCCUCAUCCACAACUCCGUCAUUGCCAACCCGCUGGAUGACUCUAGCAACCUGUGACAGAAACACCAAAGCUGUGUUAUGUUUUAAAGGCAGCAUCCAUAUCGCAUGCAAGCCAUACUGUCAGGAUGCCCUGUCACAGCUUCUAGUGCACCUUACUCACGAUAUUCGUUUAUUCACUACCGCUUAUCAGCUUCGAUCAGCAAUAAAACUGAACAUGAAUACAAUUUUCUGUGUGAAAAAAAAAAAUGCUUCGUUUAAGAAAUGUCACGGUACACCAAUGGAGCAGGUCGUUUCAUUUUGCCGUUCAUCGAGAUGAACUUUGACCUGCAAAUGAUGCGCCUAAGGUGGUCUGUUCAGUCUGUAAAACUCAAAUAAAGGAGUUAUUAGAAGUCAUACUGGACUUUUUGUCUCGUUUUCUUCUUAAUGUGGAUUGGCGCACGUAUGACAAGAACAUGACAUCAGGAUUGCCUAGUGAGUAAUGGCAAGAAACAAAUCCAAUGUGUCUUUGUAAUGAGGAUGACUCAAGGCAUAUUCAAGCAGUUCAUGAACAAUCGUUCGUUGUGAAGUCUUGCGAAUCCCUGUUUUUGCGUACGUUCAAAGCCUUUUUAUUACUGAUUGUGUUUAGGUGC